rnacentral:rRNA from 1 species
UACGUAGGGGGCAAGCGUUGUCCGGAUUUAUUGGGCGUAAAGAGCGUGUAGGCGGCCUUGUAGGUCUGCUGUGAAAACUCGAGGCUUAACCUCGAGCUGUCGGCGGAAACCAUCUGGCUAGAGUCCGGAAGAGGAGAAUGGAAUUCCCGGUGUAGCGGUGAAAUGCGCAGAUAUCGGGAAGAACACCCGUGGCGAAGGCGGUUCUCUGGGACGGUACUGACGCUGAGACGCGAAAGCGUGGGGAGCGAACAGG